ensembl:lncRNA
UCUCUCUCUCUCUCUCUCUCUCUCUCUCUCUCUCUCUCUCUCGCUCUCUCACGCUCUCUCCCGCUCUCUGUAUCAACACACGCGCAUUGGAUCAUGCACCGCCCCGCCGUGCACUCCGCAGUAGCUGUUCCUCCGUGCUACUGGUUCAACUGUCUCGCAUCUCUCCAGCAGCCAGUAUAUCUAAACUCUUUCCUGCUGGAAGUUCGUGCCUCUUUGCCAGUUCUCUCGCUAAAACAGACGUUUCUAACCAAAUGGAUGCAUACGGUUAAAUAUUAACCACCUACCAAGUGUGCAAAUGUUGCUCGUGGAUGGGUUUCCUCCAGUCUGUAGUUCCGAUAGCGCAGAGCCAGUCAUGAUAAGCCAUCGCCAGGGACUGACUUUCCUGCACUCGGAUCAACUCUCCAGGCAGCGUCCAUGCUGAUUUCUACACAGGUCUACUCUUUCUCUCGGCCAGGAAACCAUAUCUCCAAGCUCCUACGCUAAUGAGAAAAUAAACCAUGCUCUGGAUUAUUCAACAGUGACGUCGAAUGAUAUCCGAUGGGGAGACAUUUGUGCGAAGGAACCAUUAAUAAUGUAUAGAAAAAGUAGAAAAAGGAGGAAUAC